rnacentral:rRNA from 1 species
GUCGAACGCUUCUUUUCCCACCGGAGCUUGCUCCACCGGGAAAAGAGGAGUGGCGAACGGGUGAGUAACACGUGGGUAACCUGCCCAUCAGAAGGGGAUAACACUUGGAAACAGGUGCUAAUACCGUAUAACAAUCGAAACCGCAUGGUUUCGUUUUGAAAGGCGCUUUACGGUGCCGCUGAUGGAUGGACCCGCGGUGCAUUAGCUAGUUGGUGAGGUAACGGCUCACCAAGGCCACGAUGCAUAGCCGACCUGAGAGGGUGAUCGGCCACAUUGGGACUGAGACACGGCCCAAACUCCUACGGGAGGCAGCAGUAGGGAAUCUUCGGCAAUGGACGAAAGUCUGACCGAGCAACGCCGCGUGAGUGAAGAAGGUUUUCGGAUCGUAAAACUCUGUUGUUAGAGAAGAACAAGGGUGAGAGUAACUGUUCACCCCUUGACGGUAUCUAACCAGAAAGCCACGGCUAACUACGUGCCAGCAGCCGCGGUAAUACGUAGGUGGCAAGCGUUGUCCGGAUUUAUUGGGCGUAAAGCGAGCGCAGGCGGUUUCUUAAGUCUGAUGUGAAAGCCCCCGGCUCAACCGGGGAGGGUCAUUGGAAACUGGGAGACUUGAGUGCAGAAGAGGAGAGUGGAAUUCCAUGUGUAGCGGUGAAAUGCGUAGAUAUAUGGAGGAACACCAGUGGCGAAGGCGGCUCUCUGGUCUGUAACUGACGCUGAGGCUCGAAAGCGUGGGGAGCAAACAGGAUUAGAUACCCUGGUAGUCCACGCCGUAAACGAUGAGUGCUAAGUGUUGGAGGGUUUCCGCCCUUCAGUGCUGCAGCUAACGCAUUAAGCACUCCGCCUGGGGAGUACGACCGCAAGGUUGAAACUCAAAGGAAUUGACGGGGGCCCGCACAAGCGGUGGAGCAUGUGGUUUAAUUCGAAGCAACGCGAAGAACCUUACCAGGUCUUGACAUCCUUUGACCACUCUAGAGAUAGAGCUUCCCCUUCGGGGGCAAAGUGACAGGUGGUGCAUGGUUGUCGUCAGCUCGUGUCGUGAGAUGUUGGGUUAAGUCCCGCAACGAGCGCAACCCUUAUUGUUAGUUGCCAUCAUUUAGUUGGGCACUCUAGCAAGACUGCCGGUGACAAACCGGAGGAAGGUGGGGAUGACGUCAAAUCAUCAUGCCCCUUAUGACCUGGGCUACACACGUGCUACAAUGGGAAGUACAACGAGUCGCGAAGUCGCGAGGCUAAGCUAAUCUCUUAAAGCUUCUCUCAGUUCGGAUUGUAGGCUGCAACUCGCCUACAUGAAGCCGGAAUCGCUAGUAAUCGCGGAUCAGCACGCCGCGGUGAAUACGUUCCCGGGCCUUGUACACACCGCCCGUCACACCACGAGAGUUUGUAACACCCGAAGUCGGUGAGGUAACCUUUUGGAGCCA